CCUACGGGGGGCAGCAGUGGGGAAUAUUGGACAAUGGGGGGAACCCUGAUCCAGCCAUGCCGCGUGUGUGAAGAAGGCCCUCGGGUUGUAAAGCACUUUCAGUGAGGAAGAACGCUUGGUGGUUAAUACCCAUCAGGAAAGACAUCACUCACAGAAGAAGCACCGGCUAACUCCGUGCCAGCAGCCGCGGUAAUACGGAGGGUGCGAGCGUUAAUCGGAAUUACUGGGCGUAAAGCGCGCGUAGGUGGCUUGAUAAGCCGGUUGUGAAAGCCCCGGGCUCAACCUGGGAACGGCAUCCGGAACUGUCAAGCUAGAGUGCAGGAGAGGAAGGUAGAAUUCCCGGUGUAGCGGUGAAAUGCGUAGAGACCGGGAGGAAUACCAGUGGCGAAGGCGGCCUUCUGGACUGACACUGACACUGAGGUGCGAAAGCGUGGGUAGCAAACAGGAUUAGAUACCCCAGUAGUC
rnacentral:rRNA from 1 species